GGAUGUGAAGGGAAACUGGCUGUGACAUCUGUCAACACAUUGAUUUCCAGGGUUGGUGCAGAUGGUCUGAGUUGAUCUCGGGUCUCCCUUACCACCCCGUUUGUGUCCCUUCCAAAGCUGCAUGCUCAUUCAGAGUGAAUGACCUUCUGACAGAGGACCAGCCAUGAAGAGUAUUUAAAGGGUAUAUUCCCUUGCUCUAAUUUCUAGACAUGUUUAUAGUUUAUUCAAAUAUAUAUAAAUCUAU
ensembl:misc_RNA 7SK 7SK RNA